rnacentral:pre_miRNA from 1 species
AUGACCUAUGAAUUGACAGACAACGUGACUAAGUCUGUCUGUCAUUUCUGUAGGCCAAUG